AACGAACGCUGGCGGCGCGCCUAAUACAUGCAAGUCGAGCGAGAAGACGUAGCAAUACGUUUGUAAAGCGGCGAACGGGUGAGGAAUACAUGGGUAACCUACCCUCGAGUGGGGAAUAACUAGCCGAAAGGUUAGCUAAUACCGCGUACGCUCUUUGGACUUCGGUUCAGGGAGGAAAGCGAUACCGUGGGUAUCGCGCUCUUGGAUGGGCUCAUGUCCUAUCAGCUUGUUGGUGAGGUAACGGCUCACCAAGGCUUCGACGGGUAGCUGGUCUGAGAGGACGAUCAGCCACACUGGCACUGCGACACGGGCCAGACUCCUACGGGAGGCAGCAGUAAGGAAUAUUGCGCAAUGGGCGAAAGCCUGACGCAGCGACGCCGCGUGGGGGAU
rnacentral:rRNA from 1 species